CUGUAAAUAUAGAAUGAAAAAAAGACUGACAGAAACAAAAAAUCACUGAUAAGUGUCACAUGUGUCUGCUGGGACUGAUCAUUCUCACAGGAAAACUUAUACUGGAACAACAGUCUGGGCUAUGAGAUGAGAACAGAGACACACUGAGCUUUAACCACUAACCAUCAACCACCUGCUGACUGACGAGAAAACAUCAUUAGCUUGUGAGGGACAAAGACAAACUGAACCACGGUGAACUGAACUGAAGACAGAGACUGUAACACAUUUCAGUUUCAUUCAGCAACAUGAACGGUGAAAAUCAGACCUUAAAGAAUGAAUACAGUGAUCUUCCUACUGAUUAUGUCACUAAUGAAACUCAAUAUGAUUCUUCAGAAAUCAGAAUUAUUAUCUUCCUCAUCGCUAGUGUUUGUUUGGGUCUUCCAGCUCUGGUUUGGGCUUUUCGUCUUCUGCACCUUCACAGAAAGAUCAGAGGCCGAAUCUCAGUCUUUAUCCUCCUCCUCCUCCUCAAUGACCUGAUACAAUUGCCCAUUUAUCUAUAUAUAGUGACAUGUAUACUGGCAAAAUACAGAUCCGUUAUCCAUGAGCUUUACCAGUUUUGGUUGGGAUUACAUUGGUGUGGUUUUCAUCUGCAUCAGCUGGUGGCUCUGGAGGGGGUUUUGACUCUAAAAUAUCCGCUUUGUUCUGCUCGUAUUUUCUCACUGCCCUGUUACAUCAUAAUCUCCAUCCUUGUGCUUUUUUUUUCUAUAGUGAGUGCAUUAUUUCUUUAUUUUCCUGUUGUGCAUGUUAUGUCAGUAUUCAGUCUCAGCACAAGUUUUGUUCCUCUAAUCGUAUUGGCUGUAACAUCUACAAUCACCUGUAAAGCCUCUUCCACUCCUGUCAGCAAAAACAUACGUUCAGUGCUCACUGUUGCUAUUCUUACAUUUGUUAUGAUGUACUUACCUUUCAUGUUGAUCAGCUGGUUGAAUUUCUUUCAU